GGGGAUUUAGCUCAGUGGCACAAGUAUCUGCCUGGCAAGCACAAAGUUGUGAGUUCGAUCCCCCAACCCCCC
rnacentral:tRNA from 1 species